UCAGGGUUGGCAGUAGGGUUAGAAGUAGGGUUAGGGUCAUGGUAAGAGUAGGGUUAGGUUUAGGAGUAUCGUUAGGAGUAGGGUUAGGGGUAGGUUAGGGUCAGGGGUAGAGGUACCCUAACCCUACUCCUAACCCUACCCUAACCCUACUCCUAACCCUAACCUAACCCUACUCCUAACCCAACCCUAACCCUACUCCUUACCAUACCCUAACCCAACCCUAACCCUACUCCUAACCCCUUUCCUAACCCAGCCCU